UACGUAGGGUGCGAGCGUUAAUCGGAAUUACUGGGCGUAAAGCGUGCGCAGGCGGUUGGGCAAGACAGAGGUGAAAUCCCCGGGCUUAACCUGGGAACUGCCUUUGUGACUGCACGGCUAGAGUGUGUCAGAGGGGGGUAGAAUUCCACGUGUAGCAGUGAAAUGCGUAGAUAUGUGGAGGAAUACCGAUGGCGAAGGCAGCCCCCUGGGAUAACACUGACGCUCAUGCACGAAAGCGUGGGGAGCAAACAGG
rnacentral:rRNA from 1 species